UACAGAGGUCUCAAGCGUUGUUCGGAUUCAUUGGGCGUAAAGGGUGCGUAGGCGGCGCGGUAAGUCGGGUGUGAAAUCUCGGGGCUUAACUCCGAAACUGCAUUCGAUACUGCCGUGCUUGAGGACUGGAGAGGAGACUGGAAUUUACGGUGUAGCGGUGAAAUGCGUAGAUAUCGUAAGGAAGACCAGUGGCGAAGGCGGGUCUCUGGACAGUUCCUGACGCUGAGGCACGAAGGCCAUGGGAGCAAACGGG
rnacentral:rRNA from 1 species